rnacentral:rRNA from 1 species
UACGAAGGGUGCAAGCGUUAAUCGGAAUUACUGGGCGUAAAGGGCGCGUAGGCGGUCUAUCAAGUGAGAUGUGAAAUCCCCGGGCUUAACCUGGGAACUGCAUCUUAAACUGAUAGGCUGGAGUACUGUAGAGGAUAGUGGAAUUUCCGGUGUAGCGGUGAAAUGCGUAGAGAUCGGAAGGAACAUCAGUGGCGAAGGCGACUGUCUGGACAGAUACUGACGCUGAGGCGCGAAAGCGUGGGGAGCAAACAGG